UACGUAGGGUGCAAGCGUUGUCCGGAAUUAUUGGGCGUAAAGAGCGUGUAGGCGGCCCGAUUAGUCCGCUGUGAAAGUCCAGGGCUCAACCCUGGAAGGCCGGUGGAAACUGUCGGGCUAGAGUCCGGAAGAGGCGAGUGGAAUUCCCGGUGUAGCGGUGAAAUGCGCAGAUAUCGGGAGGAACACCAAUGGCGAAGGCAGCUCGCUGGGACGGUACUGACGCUGAGACGCGAAAGCGUGGGGAGCAAACAGG
rnacentral:rRNA from 1 species